UAACACAAGAGUCCUCUGAGAAGCCAUGUAAACAAACAUGUUUGUUUCCUUUAAAUUUAAGCCAUAACCUUUUAGUUUUGAUUUCUGUUACCUUAUUAUUGUUGUUCAAAUCUAAAUAUACUGUUACUUACUAACAACUAGAUAGGGAUCAUCUAGCCAUCAAGUCAGUUCUGUAAGUUUCUGAAAGAUUUUGGUGUUCAUGUCAUGAUGACUCCACUGCUGUCCAAGUCAAUCAUACAUCAUAUAUGGUAAAUGGACUGAUUAUUAUAUAGCGAUAUUCUACUCUGAGCAGUCAAAGUGCUUUAUACAAUUUGCUUCUUUCACUCAUUCACAUGAGUACUUUUUUUCUAUGCUUUUUCUACGUAAGUGCUUUAUAUCUAACAUUCACACACAUUCAUACUCCGAUGGAUGGAUCGGAGAGUUGGUAUCCUGUCCAGGGAUAUUUGGUGUCAUGGUCCUGGGUCGUUGACCCAGCGUUUUGUGUUGUAUGAUUAUUUUCCUCUGUUCUGGUUAUUCGGAUUUUGGUAUUCUGUAUCCUCCCCUUGUGCCCUGUUCAUGUUCAGCUUGUAUCCUCAGGUACGGUGUACAUUUUAGGACAUCGUCAGGUCUCAGGAAAAAAGUUGUCAGGUAUCAGUCUCACACGAAAAAUUGUCAGGUCUCAGGAAAAAAGUUGUCAGGUCUCAGGAAAAAAGGUGUCAGGUCUCAGGAAAAAAGUUGUCAGGUAUCAGUCUCACACGAAAAAUUGUCAGGUCUCAGAAUCACACGAAAAAAUGUCGUGUGAUUCUGAGACCUGACAUUUUUUCGUGUGAGUCUGAGACCUGACAUUUUUUCAUGUGAGACUGAUACCUGACAACUUUUUUCCUGAGACCUGACAACUUUUUCGUGUGAGACUGAUACCUGACAACUUUUUUCCUGAGACCUGACGAUGUCCUAAAAUGUACACCGUACUCAGGUCGUCUUGUGUAUUAGAAUCAGCUGUGCUCCCACCUGUAUGUCAUUACCUGGUCUCCUUGUUUGCGGCUGUGUAUAUAUAGUGGGUGUCAGUCUGUGCCUGUUGUCGGCUCGUCUGUGUAGUCUGCGUUCUUCUGUGUACCUCUGCGUCUCUCUGCAUUCUCCGUUUCGUAUUACUUCAGGUUUGCUCUUUAGUUUAUCCCAGUUUAGGUCUGCUUCAGUAACUGCUCAUACUUUAUUGCCCGUUUUUGUCACCCUGCCACUGUGUAAAUAAACUCACUCAUAUCAUCAGUCGGCUGCCUGCAUUUUGGGUCCUCCUUCCAUUCCACCACACGACUGCUGCCCCAGCCGUGACAUUUGGCAUGCAGACCGGAGCAGCCAGGGAUCGAACCACCAACCUUCUGAUUGAUAAAUGACCCGCUCUACUUCCUGAGCUGCAAGCCAGAAAAAGUAAUAGACGAAACAUAGUUUAGAGCGGCUGACAUAUUAGAAUAAAUAAUCCCACAAUCCACACUCUACAUCAAGAGAAGAUGAGCCAAAAC
rnacentral:lncRNA from 1 species